GGGGAAGGGAGGAGCCGUGUCGGCCAGGGGGUAGGUGUGGAGAGCAGAGGGGAAGGGAGGAGCCGUGUCGGCCAGGGGGUAGGUGUGGAGAGCAGAGGGGAAGGGAGGAGCCGUGUCGGCCAGGGGGUAGGUGUGGAGAGUGGAGGGGAGGAAUGGGCCAGGUGGGAGGAAAAGGGACAGAUCUUAUGGGAGUUUUACUGCAGUCUGGGACAUUCCAUCCAUGUCAGGACAUUACACCAGUGAUUUACACCAGUGUUCUAUUAUUGACUAGGGGCCAACGAGUUCAUAUGGGUCAACACCCAGAGGUACGGGAGAGGCCACAUGCAACCAAUAGGAACAGACUUAGUAGAGGAGAGGCCACAAGUAGCCAAUAGGAACAUAAUUAGUAGGGGAGCAGCAACACCAGUCAGGAAGAAUUUUCCUGGAAAAGCUAAACGCAUUAGAUGAUAUUUGAGUAAACAAGGCAAUCUGUACAUUGGAGUAGGGGGAGGGAUGAUCUCGAUCAGAAGAGAUACAGUAAUGUACUUGAGCAAAACAUGAAAAUAAAGUAACAGGUAUCAUUUAAGUUCAGAGGUCAAAGGAGAUCAACGAAUCAGUGAACGGUCAU